rnacentral:lncRNA from 1 species
CCGCUUUCCUACCCGGCUUCUCCUUCGUAGAACCGGAUUUUGGGAACCCUAGAGCUCAACGAUUUGCGGCGCUGAGAUGGGGCCUGGCUAGGAUGUCACCGGGUGAUGACUCGACGCCGACGACGUGGCGAACGGCGGCGACAGGCAGCAGCUAGGGUUGAAGUGUAGGAGGGAACGGCGGACAGCGGUGACCGAGCUCGUACUCACCUGCGGUGAGCUGGAUCAAUCGGUGCCUGGCGUGGCUCUGGUCGACGUGGCACGGCGGGGGAGUAAAUCCGCGGGGAUGGAUUUGCGUCAAGGGGGCGGAAGCAGUAGCUGGCAACAGGCAGCAGCUUCGCUGCAGCAGAUCUGACGAAAGGGGAUGGCAACGGCGGGUAGGUGCUGAAGCAAUUAGUGUCGGAGGACGGUGGUACAGCUCGAGGCAGCUCCUUCUGGUUUCUCUUCUCUCCAGCCCCUCCCGGUGGAUCUGGAACUCUCUCCUCUCUUCCUUCGAUCUGGGCUUGCGAGUGUCGAGCCUCCCCCGAAGUCUCUCGGGGGAAGCUUGAAUGCUCGCAGCUUCGAUCUCUCUCCUCACGCUCGGAUCUCUCCCCUUCGCUUCUCACUCCGGCUAGAUCCGAGCCUCCACCGGCCGGAUCUAACCUCCCCGAACUCGCUCACCGGCAACCUCCCCGAAGUCUCUCAGUGGGAGGUCGGCCGAGCUCGCGACCCGAGUCCUCUCUCGCUCGCUCUUCGAUUCCUCCCCCGAAGUCUCUCAAUGGGAAGAUCUCAGAGCUCGCUCGUGCUCCCUGGCCUUCCCCCCCGACACCCUAUUUAUAGGCGUGGGGGUGCCGGUCGGCAAAGGCUAGACCGGCGGUCUUUGGUGCACUAACCGGCCUUCCUUCGCCGGCCGAACCGGCGUCAGUUCCUCCCCUUCCACGGAGGCUCGCUUGCCAUCAAUGCUGCGUCCUCUCAGCCACCGGCCUACGCUCCUCUCUCUGCUGUAGGUGGUGCUCAAGCGCGUCUUCGUCGGAGCGCGUGACUUGCAGAGGCGGAGGAAGGAAGAAGAUGGGAGGAAGAAGACAGAGAAAAAAAUGGGGGGUAGGCCAAGUCGUGCGAGCCCACGUGAAGAAAAAGGGGGGGGCUGCUGCUUUUGUUUUUCUUUUGUUUUUUUCUGUUUUUUUUCUGUUUUUUUUUGGUUUUUCUAUUCAUUAUUAUUUUUUUAUCCGAAAAAAGAUAAAAUAAAGUAAAACCUAAUUAAUAAACCUAAUUAAAAUUGCGGUGUCAACAGCUGCCCCCUCUUUAAAAGGUGAGCUCGCAGAGGUUGCAUUCAAAGACAGACUGAUGCCUCAAUUUUAUCCAUGCAUGCAUAGUAGAUUAUAUUUUAUUUGGAACUUAUUAUUCUAAAGAGCAAUAUAACUUUACAUAUACUAAGACAGAUAAGAAGAUACCUGUAGUUACUUACCGAGAGUGAGUGAGAUAGGGUGUGAACCCCGAGUUUUGGCAAGUAUCAAGGCGUCAUCUUACCUGGUAAUAUGAGGAGGUUGCUUUUCCAGGGCUCGAACCAUUCUUCGGUCGCCUGUUAAAACAAUCAAUGAUUUGUCUAGGACCCGAACCUUUCUUCGGUUGCCUUGACGGGGGACUGCUCUUCCAGGACCCGAACCAUUCUUCGGUCGCCUGUUGGAGUAAUCGGUGGUUUGUCUCGGACUCGAACCAUUCUUCGGUCGCCGUGACAGGAAGUUGAUUCUCCAGGACCCGAACCAUUCUUCGGUCUCCUGUUAAAACAAUCCAUGAUUUGUCUAGGACCCGAACCUUUCUUCGGUCGCCUUGACGGGAGAUGCGUCGACCUUUCUCAGGGCAUCUAUUUGUGGGUGCCUGAUUUGUAUCGAGGACACCAGUUGGUACCCGACCUUUCUCGGGAGAUGCGCCGACCUUUCUCAGGGCAUCAUAUUUGUUGGGGGUGUCUGACUUCUGUCGAAGACACCAGUUGGUACCCGACCUUUCUCGGGAGAUGCGCCGACCUUUCUCAGGGCAUCGAUUUGUGGGGCGUCUGACUUCUGUCGAAGACACCAGUUGGAACCCGACCUUUCUCGGGAGGAUGCGCCGACCUUUCUCAGGGCAUCAAUUUGUGGGGCGUCUGACUUCCGUCGAAGACACCAGUUGGAACCCAACCUUUCUCGGGAGGAUGCACCGACCUUUCUCAGGGCAUCAAUUUGUGGGGCGUCUGACUUCCGUCGAAGACACCAGUUGGAACCCGACCUUUCUCGGGAGGAUGCGCCGACCUUUCUCAGGGCAUCAAUUUAUGGGGCGUCUGACUUCCGUCGAAGACACCAAUUGGAACCCAACCUUUCUCGGGAGGAUGCGCCGACCUUUCUCAGGGCAUCAAUUCUGGAAGAUACCUGGACAUUCACAAGCAUAUCAAAGAGUACCUGGAUAUUCACAAGUACUAACAUGAAGGAUAUUUGGACCUUUGCAGGCGUCGAAAUGGGUAUUUGGCUGACCAUAGGCAUUGAAGGGGUACUUGGAUGAUCACAAGUAUGAAUUCUUGGGGGAUACCUGGAUGAUCACAAGCAUAUCAAAGAGUACCUGGAUAUUCACAAGUACUAACAUGAAGGAUAUUUGGGCCUUUGCAGGCGUCGAAAUGGGUAUUUGGCUGACCAUAGGCAUUGAAGGGGUACUUGGAUGAUCACAAGUAUGAAUUCUUGGGGGAUACCUGGAUGAUCACAAGCAUCGGAGGGGUACCUGGACGAUCACAGGUACAAACUCUUUGGGGAUACCCGGAUGAUCACAAGUAUCGAAGGGGUACCUGGAUGAUCACAGGUACAAACUCUUUGGGGAUACCUGGAUAUUUGUGAAGGUGUCCCACCUCUUGGUAAUGGGAAUGUCGAGGACGUGCCUUGGAUAUUUAUGAAGGUCUCUCACCUCCUGGUAAUUGGGAAUAUCGAGGGCGUACCUGAGAUAUUCGUGAAGGUCUCUCACCUCCUGGUAAUUGGGAAUAUCGAGGACGUACCUUGGAUAUUCAUGAAGGUCUCUCACCUCCUGGUAAUUGGGAAUAUUGAGGAUGUGCCUCGCAUAUUCAUGAAGGUCUCUCACCUCCUGGUAAAGGGGAAUAUUGAGGACGUACCUGAGAUAUUCGUGAAGGUCUCUCACCUCCUGGUAAAUGGGAAUAUCGAGGGCGUACCUGAGAUAUUCGUGAAGGUCUCUCACCUCCUGGUAAUUGGGAAUAUUGAGGACGUGCCUCGCAUAUUCAUGAAGGUCUCUCACCUCCUGGUAAAGGGGAAUUUGAAUGUAGCACGAAGCUUACCUGGAUGGCCGUAGGUACUUAAAAGGGGUGGAACACCUGGAUAGCCACAGGCGUACAAAGUACUGGGAUACUUGGAUGAACACAAGUAUUUAAUGAUACAACCUGGGACCACUCAGUUGGUCCAAAUGUAGAAAGCAUACCUGGGUAGGCGCAGGCACACAAAGCAGUGGAAUGCUUGAACAACUGCUAUUAUUUGGGGACAACUCAGGCAAGUUAAGUGUCAUGAAAAGGAAGUACCUGGACAACGGUGGGUACUUGACGAUAUGGGGAUACCUAGAUAGCAGUAGGUAUUCCAAGAGAUACUUGGUUAGUCACAAGUAUCAAUACUUUGAGGACAAACUCGAAUAGGUUGAGUGUCAGGAAAAGGGAGUAUCCAAACGGUGACCGGUACUCAAAGACAACAGGGAUACCUAGACAGCAGUAGGUAUUUAACAAUGAAGGGAUACUUGAUCAGUCACAAGUAUCAAUACUUUGAGGACAACUCGAAUAGGUCGAGUGUCGGGAAAAUGGAGUAUCCGAACAGUGACCGGUACUCAAAGACAACAGGGAUACCUAGACAGCAGUAGGUAUUUAACAAUAAAGGGAUACUUGGUCAGUCACAAGUAUCAAUACUUUGAGGACAACUUGGACAGGUCGAGUGUCGGGAAAAGGGAGUAUCCGAACCGUGGCCGGUACUCAAAGACAAUGGGAUGCUAAGAUACCAGUAAGAAUCGAAACUCCAGGGACAACUCGAAUUGGUCGAGUGUCAAGAAGAGAGUACCUAGACAGUGAUAGGUACUUUAAGAUAAAUGGAGACAGGGGUAUGCUUACCUGGCAAUAUCUCUAAUUUCUGAGAGUAUGUUUACUAUUUGCACAAUAUGCACACAUGAUUGUAUAUGCUAUAAAUUCAUGAGCUCAAAUGAGAUUCAUGCAUGAUAAUUUUGUCAGUUCUGCAUCUUUUGAUUUCCACUGGGGAAGAUUUUAAAAGACAACCUUCAUUUAGAAUGUAGAUGUCUUGAGCAUGCCAGAUGAGGGACUUUCAGUCCGAAAGGACUUUUCGCUCACUCUCAUGGAAAAGGCUAUCCUGACCAUUGAUGCAGGAUUCAUAAGGACCACACUAUCUCACUGUCAUCAUGUCAGUAGGGGUCCGAGUAUUCUCGCAAACAGUACGACUUUACCAAUGUGAGAGGUCUUUGUUGAAACUGUGAUGAAGUCUUGGUCAGUGGCUCAUCAGAGGGGACCAUCAAGGUCGAAGCUGAUGGACGAAAAUGUUGCACGAUCAUCUCUGGGUUUGCAAGUCAAGAACCCUGCGAAGAGAGAUAGAGUAAUCUUGCUCGUACUUCUUCGAGCGAUGCUUAUGCACAUAUGAAAUCCUACGUUAAUUGAAGUGCCCCUAGUCUGAAGAGACUUUUACAAUGGGAUACAAUGUAGGCUUGAUUCGUGUGUAAAAAGGUGAGAGCUGGUGAUUGUCUUGGCAUUUGUCACCAGUCUUUCUUCUCACUAUCAAAUGGAUGCUCUAUGGACCACAACAGCAACAUUUUCUUGGCUAUAUUUUUGACUGAGGGACAUUGGCCUUACUUUUACCAGGCAUACUGCUUUUUCAUGCCCCUAUUUUAUUCAAGUUCUUCAUUUAUGGGCAUUGACCUUGCUUUUACUAGGUACACUGCUUUUUUAUGCCCAUGUUUUUUCAUUCUUGUUGCUUGAGAGCUAAUCUUGACAAGUUCAAGCAAACGCCUUUGUUAGACUAUUGAGUCUUCAUCUUUUGCCAGCGCUUUUGAUUAUGAUGCUCAAACGGCAGUAGCUUCUGCUUUAUCUCCAUGUGAGGGUAAAAUUACAGACUCACUUAGGUUGUACAAUGAAUACAAGUGCGUAAAGAAAGAAUUGCUCUCCAUGACUCUAGGGCACUUAAAUUAACGCGAGUGUUCAUAUGCAAUAAAGACACCCAAAGAUUGAUGCAAGUGCGAGCAAGAAAAUUUCUAUCUCUCUUCUCACCUUGUGAUGCUGCUUCGCUUCUAAUCUGCCCCGGUGUAGGGGUUGUUCUUGACGGGAGCAUAGCAGGAAUUUGUCAAUGUAUGGGGCUCAAUGGGGUGAGCGAUGGAAUGCCUCUCACUAUUUUGGUUAUCGUACCAUUCGUGAGAGAACUCUUUACCCUGUAGCCAUGGAAUCUUCUGCACUCAUCUCACAAGUGUAUAGAUGGGGGAUUGUGUGUAGGAUAUGGCUUGCCUUUCAUCAUUCUGACGUACCUCAUCCAGCAUGCUCAAUUAAUCUUGUAUUCUUCACUUAGCUGUCUAUUCUAAUAAUCCUCAGUGGAAUCAGUGACUUAGAUAGACGAAAUCAUCAUGCAGAAUUCAUCUGGAAAUGACAUGCAACAUUUUGAAUAUGAUGGAAUUUGUACUCUCGAAACAAAUGAAUGGUUUUGAAAAAAAAAAAGACCCUAUUGACAACUUUAGGGGCUAACAUAAUGGUGUUUCCAAAUAUGUUAGAUUUUGAACAUCAAAAGGGUUAUUCGCAAAUGGGUGUCGAUGGUUGUCCCUAUUGAUUAGGGAUAUGACACAUGAAGGAUCAACUGGGGUUGGGGAUCUGAUCGGGCACUCUGUCGUUGCCCCUGCAGAAGAGAAAAUGGAUCAAUCAAUAGGGCCAAAAUUAAAGGUGAAUUGAGGCCUGAAGGAUCUCUGUCAUUUGCUUUGGCAAUUACUCAGGACGCCAUUUCGUUUGGGAGAGUUUGUCAUGCCUCUUAUUGAUUUGUUAUCUUUGUUUUGGACAGUCAGGUAAACAAACAAGACAUGCUUCUCAUUGAUUCGUUAUCCUUGCUUUUGACAGUCAGGUGAUCCUGUAACAAACAAGAGAGAAUGUGUUAGUCAUGAACUUUUUCAAGAGUUGAAUAACUGGAAGCGAUACAACUUUACCCUUCACUGGUUUGCAGACGAUUGGGUGAACCUGAAGUGAGAGGGGGACACGAAGUCCUACAUCCCUUGCUUCGUUAGGUCGAAUAUUGGCUCCUGGAUGACACGUCAUUUUACACGAAAUCAGGUGAAUUCGAUGUGGGUCAUUUCCAUGUACUAGCUUGGCCAAUGUUGAUUUGCCAAACCUAACCAUCAAGUUUGGCUCUUGAAUUCGGAUGCUUCCUGUCAAUAGGGAAAAUAUGUCAAAAGCGGGUUCGAGUAGUGGGAGUAUUGGAAACAAUACCAAGUUACCCUUUCCCAGAGUUUGUAUUUGUUGAUUCCUAAGGCUAUUUGAAUAUCGAUGAUUGACUCCUUAUCUUGACACAGUUCAAUCUUUCCUUCGAUUAGCCCUCCUCAUUGGUGGCCCUGUAUGCAUGAUUGAUGGUCGUUGAUUCAUCUUUAACGCCUUCCUUCUGUGGAAUUUUUCUUCUGUCUUUGAGGAAAUUACUUCUUGCAAGAGCAUGCGUCUGAAUAGGAAGUCAGGUUUCUAGGUCCUCAUUUUGAAUAGGGGCUAGAGACCGCUUCAACUAUUUGGAUUUCUUCCCUGUUGACAGUAGCCAAUUCAAAGAAAGAGAAAAUAUCCCUUCCUUGUGCUUUUGGGCUUGUUGAAGCUGGAAGUCUCGUUGAUGAAACCACAACAUCUGGUUGCUUAGGCACAUUGUGGGAAAGGAUAUUGCUCUGGCUUGUGAAGGAGUUGGGCAAGAGCAAGGUGGAGUGUACAGAGCUCUUGGGAACGCUUGAUUCCAACCGUAUGCCCGUACCUAUUACGUCCUAUUUUUCGUUUCCUGUAAAUAGAAGAGAAAGGACAUCAUUUCUAAAAUUAUAUUCAGAGAAUAAAACUUACCUUUUUGAAACGUGAUGAUCCUUUCUGUUUGCCCCUGCUUUCUUGGAAGGGUGUCAUUGGAUUCGGUGAAUUCACAUAAUGUGCUUGCUUCAAAUGCCCCCUGUCACACUAAGUCAAAGGGGACGGGAAUGAUCUUCUGAGACAUGAAGUGAGUGAGUCAGAAAGACAAACAUGAUUAAAUUUAUCAUCUUUUUUGAAAGAUUUUGGUGAUGAAGUGUUUUUUGUUUUCAAAAUAUGUAUUCGGGGGAGAAAAAGCAUGAGGAAGCCCAGCCCUCAGUAUUCUCCUUGGAUGAUAUAUUUUUUCAUGGUUGGAUAGCAUCACCGGGCUGGUUUGGAGUACCGCCUCAUGCUCUUAAAACAAAAUAUUAUAACUGCACAAUAGAAUACUUGGAAUGGAAAAUACAACCGUAGCACACUAGAUAAGAUAAGAGACAUGAAAUUAUAAAAACAAGUAAAACUCAUGAAAACCCCUGUGUAAAGGAGCGUUUUGAUAGUGCUGGUCUUGAAGCUAAGCGUCUUUGAAUUCUUCGCCUCCAGUAGACUCGAAGUAUUCACAUGAAAGGACCACUUCAUUGAGGCUAUGGAGAUGCAACCCAUGCAACCAACAACGAUGCUUGCAAGGUAAAGCCCCUAUGAACAGCUUUAUCAUUUCUUCUUCGGCCAAUUGAGGGUAAGAUUGCAUCAUAAAAGCCUCCCACCUCCUUGCAUACGAUCGGAAAUCCUCCAUUGGUCUUCUUUUGAAGUGAACCAAGUUCUGACAAUGCACUUCAGUCCCAAUCUGGCUUUGAUACUGAAGCAGGAAUGCCGAAGACAGCUCAUUCCAAUCCUUUAGAAGAUAAAUGUUUGCUGUGAUAAACCAUUGCAAUGCAGACCCCGUAAGAGUUUCUUGGAAUGCCUGAGUUGUGAACGACAUCAGGCCAUAGUACCGACUCAUUUCCACAUGGAGAUACUGCAAGUGGGCCACGGGACAAGCUGUGCCGUUAUACUUACGGAGAUUGGGUAUCCACAUUUCUAUGGGGUUCAUGAUCCUAUGAGGGCAAGACGGGCUUGAUGUAUCUUGGUUAAGCUAAUGGUUUUCCCACUGCAUAUCUGUUGUAGUGGUGAAUUUUUCUGUUUCAGGAGAGUUGGAUUCUACCGAGAUUAUCCCAUUACUUUCUUCUUGGUCAAGAUUUCCGAAUGAGGAUGAAGUAUUGAAGCUAUUCUCAUGGUCGGAGGAUGAGCUCAAUACUUCAUUAGGAUCGUAGUGGAUAAAGACGUACGAUUCUUCUCCUGACGGGCCUUCAUCCCUGGAUGAGAGUAGGAAACAGUUAUACGAUGAAUCGUCAGUUUCAUUGUUAAAAUAACGUUGGAAGUCCUUGGGAUUGUAUUCUAGGGCCAGGAAGUCUUCAGGAUUGUAUUCUUGGGAACGCCAGAAGCUUUGGUGCGGUGGCUCGUCAGUAGAUGCUGAAUUGAUCUGCUUAGGCUUUCUUUUCUUGGCCCCUGGUCCAGACCUUUUGAGUAAGGCCCUGCGUUUCGCCAGCUCGAUUCUGUCAAGGGGAGUGAAAGACACUAGAGCUUCAUUGUCUGAUUCACUUUCCAGGUUGAUAGGGGUUGGUAUUCUUUGGACCCUAGCUCUUGGAGUAAGCUUGGGGAGUUGUCCUGUUGUGCCCCAGUCUUGAACAGGCUCUGUGUCUUGGAUCUCGUACAAAGGCUCCUUGCCUUUCCUAGUGGGAAAUUUUCCAGUAACAGGGUGUUGUUCAGCUGCCCAUUUAUCAUGCAAGGCUUCAUUGACAUGCUCUUCUCCUAUCUCAGCGACUAACGGUUCCUUGUGCUCCGCAAUCAUCGGCUCUUCGUAGGGCAGGGUGAUGUCAAGAUUAUACUCUUGGUGAAAAACAUGAAUUAGUUCCCUCCAGGUUUUAAGGUGACUAAUCUUCCUGACAAUGUACCAUCGCAAGGCAGGGCCAGUCAAGCUCGAUUGGUACGAUUGAAUCAUCCUUCGAACCAGGUAGGCCUGUAAGUAAGUCUCUGGACGGGGGGUAUCAGCAUACCUUUCGCAUUCAGGUGCUUUGAGCUCUUCAGGAAUCUCAAUGCCGGCGUAAUUGGACAGGUCCAUGGGAUUCUGCUCCUACAGCUGGCUUAACUUUUUCAUAAUUUUUUCAAACUGUCUAUGGUACUGGCUAUUUUCUGGCAAAUUCGCAGGUGUCAUGACGGUGUUUGAGGCAACUAUAGAGUUGGGCUCAGCUUGAGUGGAUUUCAUUUGUCUCGAGAGUUGUUGAAGGACAAUGGACAUCUGUCCUACGCCGUCUUCAAUGUUAAUGAGGCGAUUUUGUACAUCAUUUUGAUCGGGCCCGAUUGUAUGAGGCCAUUCGCGAGUGAUUGGUGGCUGGCGAUUCAUAGUUACCUGCUUGUUGCGAAAACAAUGAAUGAGCAUGAAAGUAAACGAAGAUUGACCCAUGGCAAUGGUCUAACUGCUUUUUUAUUUAUCAAAAGAGGAUUUUAUAGACUGCAGACUUCUGACAUCUAAAACUUGAAAUUGAAAUGACAGAAUGAAAUACUAGAUAUUAAACAAAAGUCCCUAAACAAUGGGACGAAACUUUCACACUAUUAAUACUAAGGGGCACAUGAUUGCCAAUUUAUAUGCGACGGGGAGCCUUGUUCUUGCGAGAAUGGUUGCUUCCUUGGGCUGGCUCUGAGGUGUGCAUCCAGUCCAUUCCCAAAUCCCUCUCCAUGAGCUCUACUUGCUCGUGCUGGCUGCUCUCGCUGAUUAAGUGAGGGACUGAUGGCUUCCAUUUUUUCGGGAUGCGAUGGUUGUGGAUGUAGGACAUGGAGGCGUGGUGGGCUUUUUCUUCUCCCUCAAGCCCUUCAGGUACCACGAUCCUUUUGCGAUGGCACUUGGCCCAAGUUUCCUGAGCGGUAGAAACUUCGAAUUCGUAGUCACGGCUUGUAUUGAAAAGAACUGAAGAGACCUUCCUGAUGGAAGACGAUGGGAUCUCCUGAAGGGCUCCAUAUUGUCGUGCCACCCGAUAAGGGUGAUAGAGAAUGGCGCCGGUGCGGCCAAGCAACGGAAUUGGGAGAUCACGCUUAUAAGCGAAGCGAGCUCUUUUUUCAUGGAACCAACCAGCACACCAUUGGAAUGCCUCAGGAGCUGGGUCUCUUAGGAAGUUUACCCAAUUUAAACAGCUUUGAUUGGGAAUAUACGGUCCUAAAACGAUAAAUUUUUGUAAUGGGUUUUCAAAAGCAUUCGUUUCAGAUGAUCGCAUGAAGUCUCGAAAUUCGCUUAGGUGAGAAAAGAACCAGACUUGUAAAAUUUCAGGAGAGGCUCGCAUGAUUUUCUCUGAGUUGUCUUUAAAACGAUUAAAGGACAAGAAUGUUUCAGUUAAAAUCAUGUUGACAUAAUUCCCCCCUCUUAAGAUCUGAUCAACUAUCCAUGCCAUCUUGGGAGUUAUGGCAUUUCUUUGAUGGGGGAAGAUGAUGAGCCCGAAAAAGGCCAAGAGGAAAAUUUCACUUUUCUGGGUCAUAGGCUGAUUUUGGAAACAUGCAUUCAUAAAUUCCAGUGGGCAGGUUUUAUGGUUAUCUUCAAGAAUUUGUAUCAUAGUAUGGACUUCAGUUCUUAAAAGCCGUGCUAACCCACGUAUCGGGAUGAGGCCUGUUGAUGGUUUGAUAAGCUUUUUCUCAAGAGGCAUUCCAGUGAUGAUGCUGUAUUCUUCCAGGGUUGGGGUUAGCUCAAAUCUACCAAAUAUAAAAGCACCGUCUUCGGGCACCAGAAAUGUGCUAUGGCUUGUAUGACUUCAGGGCGAACAGUGAUUUGGAUCAACGAUAGGAGAUGACCGACUUUGGCCUUCACACGCUCUUGGGCAAACUGAUCUAACUGACCCCACCAUCUGAAGAGCUCUGCCUUGGGAGUAGGAAUGAACUGGAUAUCGUCCUUCCCCAUCGCAUAUAAACUGGGACUUGAAAAGCUUAUCCUAAAUUGCCAUGAGCCAAAUAAAAAGACUGUGUAAAAGUAAAGAAAUCACUUUGCUUUUAAAUAAAAUGGCAAGCACAAGGACAUGCACAUGGGACGUGCGGCUCGAUUUCUAACUGAGAAGGCUUGGUGAGAUUAAAAGGAUAUCCGCCCGUCGCAGUCUCGCGUUAGCAGCAUACCCUCCUAACCUCGGCUAAGAAAUUCGGGGAAAAGAAAGGCAACCUCUAUAUCGCAGUCUCGCGUUCGAGGUCGUAUCUUUCUUAACACCAUCCUAGAAAUCCUAUGGCGGCCCAGGUCCGGCGGCCGGGUUGUGUGUGUCAUGUGUAGUGUUUAAAACAGUAAAGCAUGCACAACAGUUUAUAAUCACAAAAACAUUUUAUUUUAACAGAAUAAAAAAACUUUAAGCUAUUACCCUGCAUAAAAAAAAAAAAAAAAAAAAAAAAAAAAAAAAAACCAAGUCAGCAAAGCAUUUAAACAAAGAUAAAAUGGCCUAAGUCCUCAACCUCCCCAGCGGAGUCGCCAAGCUGUCGCGACCUCUUUUUUCUCGGCGCCCGCAAUUGGGUACGAGCGCCUAAAGGAGGCUAAUGGCUCGGCUGAAUUUAUUAAGCCCGGACUCUCCCAAGUCCACCAAUUCACGACUUUAAUAGUUUGAGUUUUUAACCUAUAAAUCAAUUUUUAAAAUGGAGUCGCCACUAAUCGAUUUGGGGUGGGUUGAUUAGAAACCCAAGUGAAGUAUCGGGAGAAAUACUCACUCCUGCGCAACCAGAGAAAUUAGGAUCGGGGACUUGAUUACACUAGUUAAUCACUAAUGCCCUUUCGGUAUCUAAUCUUGUUUAAACCCUAAGGCUUUUUGAAUGUUUGAGAGAUUUUCCAUGCAUUUUUGGGAGGAAAAACAUUUUUUGAGUCAUUUUCUAAUUUUUUUGGACACAAAAGGGAUUUUUGGGGGUUUUUUGGUAUUUUUUUGGAAAAAUACAAGUCUUUCUGGCUUUUUCUGAAUUUUUGGCUUUUUUUUGGAAAAUAUGAAAUAUUUUUGAUAUUUUUGAUUUUUCGAAAAAUAAAAUAUUUUUUAAUAUUUUUUUGAUAUUUUUGGAAAAUAAAUUAUUGUUUGAUUUUUUUAAAAUAAAAUAUUUAUUAUUUAUUUAUUUAUUUAAAAUAUUAUUUUUAUAUUAAAAUAAUAUAAAAACUGACCCGGGUUGGAUCCGCGGGUUGGGUCCGACCCGGGCCAGCGAUCCGAAUGAGGACGGGCCCGCAACGCGGGCUUGACUCGGAUAUUUUCGUCACUUUUUUUCAAAAAACAAGGCCCAAACCGAUUUUGGCCCACUUUCGUUAUAUAAAAAAAAUCCAGGGAUUAACCGGCCCACACGCGCAGGCCCACAUCUGGGGGGGAAACCCUACCCGAUCGCUGACCCAUGCCCGACCCGCUUUCCUACCCGGCUUCUCCUUCGUAGAACCGGAUUUUGGGAACCCUAGAGCUCAACGAUUUGCAGCGCUGAGAUGGGGCCUAGCUGGGAUGUCACCGGGUGAUGACUCGACGCCGACGACGUGGCGAACGGCGGCGACAGGCAGCAGCUGGGGUUGAAGUGUAGGAGGGAACGGCGGACAGGGGUGACCGAGCUCGUACUCACCUGCGGUGAGCUGGAUCAAUCGGUGCCUGGCGUGGCUCUGGUCGACGUGGCACGGCGGGGGAGUAAAUCCGCGGGGAUGGAUCUGCGUCGAGGGGGCGGAAGCAGUAGCUGGCAACAGGCAGCAGCUUUGCUGCAGCAGAUCUGACGAAAGGGGAUGGCAACGGCGGGUAGGUGCUGAAGCAAUCAGUGUCGGAGGACGGCGGUACAGCUCGAGGCAGCUCCUUCUGGUUUCUCUUCUCUCCAGCCCCUCCCGGUGGAUCUGGAACUCUCUCCUCUCUUCCUUCGAUCUGGGCUUGCGAGUGUCGAGCCUCCCCCGAAGUCUCUCGGGGGAAGCUUGAAUGCUCGCAGCUUCGAUCUCUCUCCUCACGCUCGGAUCUCUCCCCUUCGCUUCUCACUCCGGCUAGAUCUGAGCCUCCACCGGCCGGAUCUAACCUCCCCGAACUCGCUCACCGGCAACCUCCCCCGAAGUCUCUCAGUGGGAGGUCGGCCGAGCUCGCGACCCGAGUCCUCUCUCGCUCGCUCUUCGAUUCCUCCCCCGAAGUCUCUCAGUGGGAAGAUCUCAGAGCUCGCUCGUGCUCCCUGGCCUUCCCCCCCGACACCCUAUUUAUAGGCGUGGGGGUGCCGGUCGGCAAAGGCUAGACCGGCGGUCUUUGGUGCACUAACCGGCCUUCCUUCGCCGGCCGAACCGGCGUCAGUUCCUCCCCUUCCACGGAGGCUCGCUUGCCAUCAAUGCUGCGUCCUCUCAGCCACCGGCCUACGCUCCUCUCUCUGCUGUAGGUGGUGCUCAAGCGCGUCUUCGUCGGAGCGCGUGACUUGCAAAGGCGGAGGAAGGAAGAAGAUGGGAGGAAGAAGACAGAGAAAAAAAAGGGGGGUAGGCCAAGUCGUGCGAGCCCACGUGAAGAAAAAGGGGGGGCUGCUGCUUUUGU